UACGUAGGGUGCGAGCGUUAAUCGGAAUUACUGGGCGUAAAGCGUGCGCAGGCGGCUUGCCAAGUCAGAUGUGAAAGCCCCGGGCUCAACCCGGGAAUGGCGUUUGAAACUGGCAGGCUAGAGUUUGGCAGAGGGGGGUGGAAUUCCACGUGUAGCAGUGAAAUGCGUAGAGAUGUGGAGGAACACCGAUGGCGAAGGCAGCCCCCUGGGCCAAAACUGACGCUCAGGCACGAAAGCGUGGGGAGCAAACAGG
rnacentral:rRNA from 2 species